AACGAACGCUGGCGGCAGGCCUAACACAUGCAAGUCGAGCGAGCCCUUCGGGGCUAGCGGCGGACGGGUGAGUAACGCGUGGGAACGUGCCCUUCUCUACGGAAUAGCCUCGGGAAACUGAGAGUAAUACCGUAUACGCCCUUCGGGGGAAAGAUUUAUCGGAAAAGGAUCGGCCCGCGUUGGAUUAGCUAGUUGGUGGGGUAAAGGCCUACCAAGGCGACGAUCCAUAGCGGGUCUGAGAGGAUGAUCAGCCACAUUGGGACUGAGACACGGCCCAAACUCCUACGGGAGGCAGCAGUGGUGAAUAUUGGAAAAUGGGCGCAAGCCUGAUCCAGCCAUGCCGCGUGAGUGAUGAAGGCCUUAGGGUUGUAAAGCUCUUUCACCGGAGAAGAUAAUGACGGUAUCCGGAGAAGAAGCCCCGGCUAACUUCGUGCCAGCAGCCGCCGUAAUAC
rnacentral:rRNA from 1 species